rnacentral:rRNA from 1 species
GGGUACAUGAUCGGGCUGGACCUCUCGGGGUUACAGCCUUGCUGAAUUAUUCACCCUUGUCUUUUGCGUACUUCUUGUUUCCUUGGUGGGUUCGCCCACCACUAGGACAAACAUAAACCUUUUGUAAUUGCAAUCAGCGUCAGUAACAAAUUAAUAAUUACAACUUUCAACAACGGAUCUCUUGGUUCUGGCAUCGAUGAAGAACGCAGCGAAAUGCGAUAAGUAGUGUGAAUUGCAGAAUUCAGUGAAUCAUCGAAUCUUUGAACGCACAUUGCGCCCUUUGGUAUUCCAAAGGGCAUGCCUGUUCGAGCGUCAUUUGUACCCUCAAGCUUUGCUUGGUGUUGGGCGUCUUGUCUCUAGCUUUGCUGGAGACUCGCCUUAAAGUAAUUGGCAGCCGGCCUACUGGUUUCGGAGCGCAGCACAAGUCGCACUCUCUAUCAGCAAAGGUCUAGCAUCCAUUAAGCCUUUUUUUCAACUUUUGACCUCGGAUCAGGUAGGGAUACCCGCUGAACUUAAGCAUAUCAA